UCUCUCCAAAGCACUGACACUGGACGCUGUAAUUGUUAAAUAACGAUCUCCUUACAUCUCCUUACAGAAAUCCCACCACACGAAUGACUCAGUGUCACAAUUUGAAGUUCAGAGAGAAGUUCUAUAGCAAAUUGUAUCAUCAUCUUUGGAGCUUAACGGAGCAGGAGACCACACAUCAGUAGCCGAUGUGACAUAAACACGUUAUAAACCUCCUGUAUUACAUUAUAAAAUCAGCUCGACAUCCAAACUGGGAUAAUGUACAGUAACGGGAAGGACGUGGAGAACGAAUUCCAGCCUGAGGAAUUCAUCAGAUUGUGACACGGAGGUGAAAUCGCCUGCGGAGGAGAGAAAAAAGAAAAGAAAAUGAUCGACAGAAAGCAAGAUAUUUAUAAUGUAUGCUAUUUAAUUCUUCCAAGAAGAAGCCUUUGUUUUGUCACACAGACAUUAGAAUAUAGUAAAAUUCUUUCUUCACAUAUCCCAACAUUGGAAGGUUGUGGCUCAGUGUAUGGUCAGCCAUGAUACGGUGAGAGCUAGGGGCCUUGCUCAGGGGCCCAACAGUGACAACUUGAACCCUGAUUCUCCAAUCGACAAUCUAAAGCCUUAAAUUCUUGAACCACCACAAUACACACAAUGAAAUAAAAAGGUGGAGGUACAUGAAUGGAGCUUGUGGUCAGUCAGUCAGUCAGUAAAAUGGAGCAUGUGAUCAGUCAGAUUUAAGAAAAAAAAAAGUUAGUCUAAUAAUUGGAUUCAAUGCUGCGUGAUCAUGUAGUGAUCGUGAUCAUGUAGUGUUAAUGUGAACCAUCACUAGGUGAAAUGUCACCUGAUUAAACAGAGUAGGAAUAAACAGCGGUGUGGUGACGUGAGUGUAACACCAGUGUUGGGGGUUUGAUCCUCAGCUCGGGUUUGAACUCAACGUUUGAUUAAAUUCUACAUAAAAUGCAAUACAAGAUACCUUUCUACAUAACCUAUACACAUAGGUUAAAAAAUUAUUUGACAUACUAUAAGUAAAAGCCCACAAACAUUGAAUCUCUAAUGGCUGUGAGCUUGUCUAACUGAGA